UACGUAGGUGGCAAGCGUUGUCCGGAAUUAUUGGGCGUAAAGCGCGCGCAGGCGGUCCUUUAAGUCUGAUGUGAAAGCCCACGGCUCAACCGUGGAGGGUCAUUGGAAACUGGGGGACUUGAGUACAGAAGAGAAGAGUGGAAUUCCACGUGUAGCGGUGAAAUGCGUAGAGAUGUGGAGGAACACCAGUGGCGAAGGCGGCUUUCUGGACGGUAACUGACGCUGAGACGCGAAAGCGUGGGGAGCAAACAGG
rnacentral:rRNA from 1 species